CCUACGGGAGGCAGCAGUGAGGAAUAUUGGGCAAUGGGCGAGAGCCUGAACCAGCCAAGUCGCGUGAAGGAUGAAGGCCCUACGGGUGGUAAACUUCUUUUGUCAGGGAGCAAUAGGGUCCACGCCUGGGCUUAGCGAGAGUACCUGAAGAAAAAGCAUCGGCUAACUCCGUGCCAGCAGCGGCGGUAAUACGGGGGAUGAGAGCGUUAACCGGAUUUAUUGGGUUUAGGGGGUGCGUAGGCGGAAUUUCAAGUCCGCGGUAAAGAUUCGGGGCUCAACCCCGUCGUGCCGUUGAAACUGUUGUUCUUGAGUGGGCGAGAAGCAUGCGGAAUGCGUGGUGUAGCGGUGAAAUGCAUAGAUAUCACGCAGAACUCCGAUUGCGAAGGCAGCAUACCGGCGCCCAACUGACGCUGAAGCACGAAAGCGUGGGUAUCGAACAGGAUUAGAUACCCCUGUAGUC
rnacentral:rRNA from 1 species